rnacentral:rRNA from 3 species
GGACGGUUACCACGGUGUGAUUCAUGACUGGGGUGAAGUCGUAACAAGGUAGCCGUAGGGGAACCUGCGGCUGGAUCACCUCCUUA